GCGGAUGUAGCUCAGUUGGUAGAGCGCAACCUUGCCAAGGUUGAGGUCGCGGGUCCGAGCCCCGUCAUCCGCU
rnacentral:tRNA from 1 species